rnacentral:rRNA from 1 species
UAGGGAAUCUUCCACAAAUGGGCGAAGCCUGAUGGAGCAACGCCGCGUGUGUGAUGAAGGGUUUCGGCUCGUAAAACACUGUUGUAAGAGAAGAAUGACAUUGAGAGUAACUGUUCAAUGUGUGACGGUAUCUUACCAGAAAGGAACGGCUAAAUACGUGCCAC